UCCCUGGAGGGCUAGUGGUUAGGCCUCAGCGCUCUCACUGCCACGACCGGGGUUCGAUUCCCCGCCAGGGAA